UUUGCCCAUUGGAAGACAAGUAAAACCGAAUUGCAUUAGCUACUUCGUUUUCACUGUGGAAACAACCACCGAACAGUAUUGUUGGCUCACAAAAUAGUGAUGAAUACGUCGAAGAUAUUUUUCAUCGUGGCAGCUGUUGCUCUCAUCGGUUGUACCUUCGCUGCACCCAGUGGAGAGAACACAGAUUUGGAUGUGACUGAUCAAGGAAGGUGUCUAAAAAUCUCUGGAUACACACUAUGUGUCGGUGAUUUACCCCGGAUUUUCGAAAAAGCCCAGGAAUUCUUCGACGUGUGGAUUUGCGGUGUAUUCUCGUCGUUAUACCCAGCUGUGUUAUCCAUAUGUCCGAAAUAGAUAUAAUGGAACAUGUAAUCUGGUUUUCUGUCUGGAAUAAAAUCUACUGAGGACAUGAAAA